rnacentral:rRNA from 1 species
AAGGAAUAUUGGACAAUGGGCGCAAGCCUGAUCCAGCCAUGCCGCGUGAAGGAUGAAGGCCCUAUGGGUUGUAAACUUCUUUUAGCAGGGAAAAAACCCCUCGAUGCGUCGGGGGCUGAUGGUACCUGCAGAAUAAGGAUCGGCUAACUCCGUGCCAGCAGCCGCGGUAAUACGGAGGAUCCAAGCGUUAUCCGGAUUUAUUGGGUUUAAAGGGUGCGUAGGCGGAUAAAUAAGUCAGUGGUGAAAGCCUGCAGCUUAACUGUAGAAUUGCCAUUGAUACUGUGUAUCUUGAAUAUAGUUGAGGUGGGCGGAAUAUGACAUGUAGUGGUGAAAUACUUAGAUAUGUCAUAGAACACCGAUUGCGAAGGCAGCUCACUAAGCUAUGAUUGACGCUGAGGCACGAAAGCGUGGGGAGCAAAC